rnacentral:rRNA from 1 species
AUGCAAGUCGAACGGCAGCACGGGAGCAAUCCUGGUGGCGAGUGGCGAACGGGUGAGUAAAGCAUCGGAACGUGCCCAGUCGUGGGGGAUAACGUAGCGAAAGCUACGCUAAUACCGCAUACGAUCUGUGGAUGAAAGCGGGGGACCGUAGGGCCUCGCGCGAUUGGAGCGGCCGAUGUCAGAUUAGGUAGUUGGUGGGGUAAAGGCUCACCAAGCCGACGAUCUGUAGCUGGUCUGAGAGGACCAACCAGCCAACACUUGGCACUGAAGACACGGCCCAGACUCCUACGGGAGGCAGCAGUGGGGAAUUUUGGACAAUGGGCGCAAGCCUGAUCCAGCAAUGCCGCGUGCAGGAUGAAGGCCUUCGGGUUGUAAACUGCUUUUGUACGGAGCGAAAAGGCUUCCACUAAUACUGGGGGCUCAUGACGGUACCGUAAGAAUAAGCACCGGCUAACUACGUGCCAGCAGCCGCGGUAAUACGUAGGGUGCAAGCGUUAAUCGGAAUUACUGGGCGUAAAGCGUGCGCAGUCGGUCUUGUAAGACAGGUGUGAAAUCCCCGGGCUUAACCUGGGAACUGCGCUUGUGACUGCAAGGCUGGAGUA